rnacentral:rRNA from 1 species
GAUGAACGCUGGCGGCGUGCCUAAUACAUGCAAGUCGAGCGAACGGACGAGAAGCUUGCUUCUCUGAUGUUAGCGGCGGACGGGUGAGUAACACGUGGAUAACCUACCUAUAAGACUGGGAUAACUUCGGGAAACCGGAGCUAAUACCGGAUAAUAUUUUGAACCGCAUGGUUCAAAAGUGAAAGACGGUCUUGCUGUCACUUAUAGAUGGAUCCGCGCUGCAUUAGCUAGUUGGUAAGGUAACGGCUUACCAAGGCAACGAUGCAUAGCCGACCUGAGAGGGUGAUCGGCCACACUGGAACUGAGACACGGUCCAGACUCCUACGGGAGGCAGCAGUAGGGAAUCUUCCGCAAUGGGCGAAAGCCUGACGGAGCAACGCCGCGUGAGUGAUGAAGGUCUUCUGAUCGUAAAACUCUGUUAUUAGGGAAGAACAUAUGUGUAAGUAACUGUGCACAUCUUGACGGUACCUAAUCAGAAAGCCACGGCUAACUACGUGCCAGCAGCCGCGGUAAUACGUAAGUGGCAAGCGUUAUCCGGAAUUAUUGGGCGUAAAGCGCGCGUAAGCGGUUUUUUUAAUCUGAUGUGAAAGCCCACGGCUCCACCGUGGGAGGGUCAUUGGAAACUGGAAAACUUGAGUGCAGAAGAGGAAAGUGGAAUUCCAUGUGUAGCGGUGAAAUGCGCAGAGAUAUGGAGGAACACCAGUGGCGAAGGCGACUUUCUGGUCUGUAACUGACGCUGAUGUGCGAAAGCGUGGGGAUCAAACAGGAUUAGAUACCCUGGUAGUCCACGCCGUAAACGAUGAGUGCUAAGUGUUAGGGGGUUUCCGCCCCUUAGUGCUGCAGCUAACGCAUUAAGCACUCCGCCUGGGGAGUACGACCGCAAGGUUGAAACCCAAAGGAAUUGACGGGGACCCGCACAAGCGGUGGAGCAUGUGGUUUAAUUCGAAGCAACGCGAAGAACCUUACCAAAUCUUGACAUCCUUUGACAACUCUAGAGAUAGAGCCUUCCCCUUCGGGGGACAAAGUGACAGGUGGUGCAUGGUUGUCGUCAGCUCGUGUCGUGAGAUGUUGGGUUAAGUCCCGCAACGAGCGCAACCCUUAAGCUUAGUUGCCAUCAUUAAGUUGGGCACUCUAAGUUGACUGCCGGUGACAAACCGGAGGAAGGUGGGGAUGACGUCAAAUCAUCAUGCCCCUUAUGAUUUGGGCUACACACGUGCUACAAUGGACAAUACAAAGGGCAGCGAAACCGCGAGGUCAAGCAAAUCCCAUAAAGUUGUUCUCAGUUCGGAUUGUAGUCUGCAACUCGACUACAUGAAGCUGGAAUCGCUAGUAAUCGUAGAUCAGCAUGCUACGGUGAAUACGUUCCCGGGUCU